rnacentral:rRNA from 1 species
UGGGGAAUAUUGCACAAUGGAGGAAACUCUGAUGCAGCGACGCCGCGUGAAGGAAGAAGGUCUUCGGAUUGUAAACUUCUGUUGUCAGGGACGAUAAUGACGGUACCUGACGAGAAAGCCACGGCUAACUACGUGCCAGCAGCCGCGGUAAAACGUAGGUGGCAAGCGUUGUCCGGAAUUACUGGGUGUAAAGGGAGCGCAGGCGGAUUGACAAGUUGGAGGUGAAAUUCAUGGGCUCAACCCAUGACCUGCCUUCAAAACUGUCAGUCUUGAGUGGUGUAGAGGUAGGCGGAAUUCCCGGUGUAGCGGUGGAAUGCGUAGAUAUCGGGAGGAACACCAGUGGCGAAGGCGGCCUACUGGGCACUAACUGACGCUGAGGCUCGAAAGCAUGGGUAGCAAACA